UGAUGACCUACCAGAUCUUGACACAAGGGCUGCACUUUUAUUCCUGCCAUACGUCUUCAAGGAGAAACUGGAUCUCUUUGUCAUACUUGGAGAGGUUCAUCCGAAAACCCCCUAUCCAACUG